UGCAUAUGUUAUUUCAUAUGCCAAUAGUAUUUUAUAAUAAAAUCUUUAAACAGAUUUUAUUAGUACCUACAAGCACAAUAUGAGCUUUCCCAUUUAACAUCUUUCUAUUUUCUUUUCCUUAGCUUUUUGGGGAGUUAGGGAUGGGAGGCAAUCUCUUCCCUGGUAUAACCCUUAAGAAUAAUGAAUUGUUUGGGAACAUCUGAUAUUUGGUAGCAUUGUUCUGACAGCAUCAUUUAGGAUAUGGCCUAAAUGCCUGACAGCAGACUGUUCUGUUGUGUUAUUUCUAAACCUCAUGAUUUGGAGAUGGCAGAUUGUGUCAAGUUGUGUGGAAUGUUCUAUUGUGCUCUUACUGAUGCUGCAGACAUGAAAAUUCUUAUGGGUUUCUGUAAGGAACCAGCCUCUCUCCAGGUUUUUAGUGCUUUCUACUGAGGUUGUGGGCUUCAGAAUGCACAGUCUUAUUGAAUGUGAUAGCCACCUUCCCUUGACAUUUGGAGUGGCACCGGCUUAGGGAAAGCCCCUUGCUGGUACCACCACCUACAACUAUAGGCACCUCCCUCGCCCUGCCCUUGUGAUCCCAGCAAGUCUCUCAGUCCUUAUUUACUUAUAAUAGGAUUUCAUCAAACCAGGGACAGUUUUAACAGUCCUGUUAUACCACUGACUAGGUUCACUGUGCUUUAAAACAAUGAUGAGCCCACAUUUCUGCCCCAAACUUACUGGCAACAAAACCCAGAUGACACACAUCGUGAAAGACGACGGUCAUUAAGAUAGGCUGUUUGCUGGGUCAGCUUCCCAUACUCUUGUGCCCCAUUCAUGCUCUGUUAGUGGAUUAACAGCUCAUGUAUUAACAGCCCAUGACAACUGUGGGCCCACUGAGUCCUAGGAGCAGGUGAGUCACCUGCUAAUCCUUACUCCUCCAGCAGAUAUUUUAUCCCAGGCUUUAUAAUGCUGACCAGAUCCAAAGUAACUAAAACUGGCUGUAACCAGAGACACACAGAGACUCAAGUGUCCACUGUUGGAUGAGGCAAACUUCAAAAUUAAUCUUUGUAUACCUUGGGCAAUACACUGUUCAUGUGUCUCUUUUGAAUUUAUGAUAUACUUUCUUCCUUUUGGGAGCUGAUACUCUGUCCUUGACCUUUAGAUCAUGUGGAGUCAGGCCUCUCAUCUAUCCAGAAUCUUGAUCUUGUUACCACCAAAGUUCUUAACAGCUUAAAAAAAAAUGGAAAACUCAUCGAUGCACAUUUAAACUAUUUAUAUGUAGACUUUCGUUGUAAUUAAAUUGUUUUUGGAUCUUAAAACUUUAUGUUGGAAGUAACCACUGCUGGCAUUGAAAUACUAUUUGAGCUGUCAUUAGACUGAUGAGGCGGCUGCAGGUGGCAGUAGCCACUGGAUGCCCGCCAUUUAGGAUGGGAAGUUAGGUUCUGAUUUCUCAAAG
rnacentral:lncRNA from 1 species